UACGUAGGGAGCAAGCGUUGUCCGGAAUUAUUGGGCGUAAAGCGUCCGUAGGCGGUUUCAAAAGUCUGUUGUUAAAGCCCACAGCUCAACUGUGGAUCGGCAAUGGAAACUGUGAGACUAGAGAGUGGUAGGGGUAGAGGGAAUUCCUAGUGUAGCGGUGAAAUGCGUAGAUAUUAGGAAGAACACCAGUGGCGAAGGCGCGCUACUGGGCCAUUACUGACGCUGAUGGACGAAAGCUAGGAGAGCGAAAGGG
rnacentral:rRNA from 1 species